rnacentral:rRNA from 1 species
CCCUUAAGCUUAGUUGCCAUCAUUAAGUUGGGCACUCUAAGUUGACUGCCGGUGACAAACCGGAGGAAGGUGGGGAUGACGUCAAAUCAUCAUGCCCCUUAUGAUUUGGGCUACACACGUGCUACAAUGGACAAUACAAAGGGCAGCGAAACCGCGAGGUCAAGCAAAUCCCAUAAAGUUGUUCUCAGUUCGGAUUGUAGUCUGCAACUCGACUACAUGAAGCUGGAAUCGCUAGUAAUCGUAGAUCAGCAUGCUACGGUGAAUACGUUCCCGGGUCUUGUACACACCGCCCGUCACACCACGAGAGUUUGUAACACCCGAAGCCGGUGGAGUAACCUUUUAGGAGCUAGCCGUCGAAGGUGGGACAAAUGAUUGGGGUGAAGUCGUAACAAGGUAGCCGUAUCGGAAGGUGCGGCUGGAUCACCUCCUUU